GCUCUAUUCCAGAAGCAGUCUGGAGCACAAAGAAUCCCUAAUCACUGACAUUAAGAAAGAAGAAAAAUAUUCCUAGGACGAUCCUGGAGAGCAAAGGUCAUCAGCAGUCACUUGACUUUCCUUGGAUUUCUCAACUGCAGUAGUCACAUGGUCUGCUGAAAAUGAAUUCUCUUUAUUUUCAUCUGAUUUCAAGGAAUUAUGGUUUUCAGUGAUUUCUUCAUUUGGAUCUAUUUUGAGACAGAGUAAUAGCAUUAAAACCCCCUUCUGAAUUAAUAAGGCAUUUGUUGCUGAAACGCAAAGUGUGACAAGCCAAUGGAGAUAAAAAAGCAUAAAUUCAAGAACACAAUUCAACAGUUUAGUGGUAGUGCUAACCUCAGGAUCAAGGUUUUCAGAGAAUGCUUUUUUCUCAGCUUCUAAUUGUAUGCCAUUCGGCGUUGGAAGGGAAGAAGGUGCAGAAUGUAACUCCAAUUCUUCACUGAGGGCAGUUUCUUUAUCUUCUAGUCCAUCCUUCUCCUCCAUGUGACUUUUCUUUUUCAACAUACUCCUUGGCCGAGGUGAUGGUUUAAAGUGAUCAUCUGUGUCAAGGCUGUUGUUUUCUGCUGAAAAAUAAAAUGCUUAAAGUGUGUGU
ensembl:lncRNA MAP9-AS1 MAP9 antisense RNA 1